GCAAACGACCCGAGUUUAUAGCUGGGCGGAAUGAGUAAUUAUUUAUUUUAAAGAAACCUCUUUGUCUCUGUAAUGCAGUCGAUGAAUAUUUAUACAGUGAAUCUAGUAGCUGCCGCGGUCGCGGUGUUAUUACAACUCUUUCUCCACUGUUCAGUCAGUCGACUAAAGUUCUCUCUUUCUGAGUUCAGGAUGACCAGUCUUUUUGUGUUUUCGGCCACUUUGGCUAGUAUAUUUAUUCUGUAUAAAGCCAACGAAUUGGGCGCCUUAAAGUUAAAAAAUAAACUAUUAAAAUACCGUAAAGUAACCUUACACACCUCAAACGGGAAAGUUACUCGCGAUUUUGAAAAAUGCACCUCUUUGGAUCCGCAAAUUCUUACUCACAUGUUUAAUAGCUCGUUGUUCUUUACGUGCUCUUUGAUAUUUUUUUAUUUUUUGUUUCGAGGC